CCUGCGUUUCUCGCAGGCGCAGUAGUUCUCUCGGAGGAUGAGUUGCUCGUGAUCUCUUCCGCUCGCUCGAGUUCUUAGGGUGGUUGCCGAGGCAGCAGCCCAAAGAAUAUGGCGGCCAGAAGGAGGAAGUCCGGAGGUUUGCCGAGCGUUGUGGUGCCCUCAUAUAACUGUGCAAGCGGAGCAGGACUGGGAGCUCUAAAACCGCCUCGGACCGUCCUUCUUUCGAUCUAAGUCUUUCGAGCAGGAGGUGCGAUCUGACUCCACCGAAUCGCGGGAUCUUAUUGAGGAAGUCGGGUUCUUGCCAAGCAAGGCAUUGCAACACCUGAUCACUGAGAGCCCGGCUUAGGUCAUCUUCAAGAUGGUGUAUGAAGCCCUUCAAGUAUCAUGGAGAAUAAAGUAAGCAGCCAUUCAAAUGAGACUUACCACUCAUGUCCAAGAUAAGGUACUGCAGAUUUACUUCACCCUUCCUAGCGAUGGCAUCUUCCUCUUCUAUCCAUCUCAAGAUCCUAGUUUUGGUAAAAACAAGAGAUGAGCUUGAACCAAGCUUUGAUAGAUCCUCAACUAUCUCAGGUCCAUGACAUCUUUUCCUUACCUCUCUCUCAGAUAGCCAGUGCUUGCAUAGUAGAUAGGAGAACCCAGUUUCAAAAUCAAAAUGUUAGGGAAAAGAACUGAGUCUGGAUAUUGCUCCACAUCACAAUAAGCUUCAGUUCCCUUUAUGUUUCCGAGCUUGCAAGUAGUUGGUCGUGCCACAUAUAAUAAUGCCCUCAGUAUUGACAGACCUACCUGUACAAGAAGGUAAUAUAGAAAACAUGGUUGAUAUGGACAAAAGAUGAUGAUGAUAUAGAAAUAGUUUGGGCAGCCAAUUGAUUCGUCUUUAAUCAAUUCCUUUAUGAUCAAACAGCCAAGAAAGGGAGAAGUUAACUUGUGCAUAGGAGUCUUACUGAAGCCAAAAGUCCAACAGUCAUGCUGAAAAAUAUGACACCAAAGAAAGCUGCCACGCAAAUGACAAAGUCAAACUUGUCCACCUCGAGAAGGCGGUGAGCUUCUUCAAACUUAAUGAGCCCAGUCAUGGCAACGAUGAUGAUUGCUGAUAGGGCUACUAGAGGAGUGUAUUUGAAGAGAGGUGCCAAGAACAACAGCACCACCAUGAUGCACAUUGACAUGACCACAUUUGACAUCGCCGUCUUGCAUCCUGCAUGGAAGUUAACUGCUGACCUGGAAAAAGGACCUGUAAUAUAAGCGUUGCAUUAUUCAUCAAAAAUUUAUUUGAAAAACCAUUAUUAAUCUAACAUAUCUCUUGUUUGUUCAGACUGUAAAGUGUUCUGAUUACAAAAAAAAUUCCAAGGACAGAUUUGCUUGGUAAA